UGUGCCUGAGGAAGUCUGAGCUGCAGAAGUCUCAAACAAAGAGGCUGGUGUUGGGGGGAGUGCUUCAUAUUUAGCUUCAGACAGUUUUGUUUGGUCUGAAAAGUAUCUUAAAAUAUGUGAAAGUAGCUGCCAACGUUUCAAGUGUGUGGGAUUUUCCUACAAGCUCUGAAUUUCUGGUUUCUCUUGAAAAGAAAUGGAAGACCUGACCGUGCUGGACUGCGGCAAUAUUUUGCAGCAAUAGAGCGGAGCUGAGUGGCAGAUGCUGUUCAGGUCCCCGGUUUUCACUGGGCCAUAUGACUCAGGAGACCUCCUUGGGCACAAGCAUUGAAGUCUGAACCUUUGCUUUAUCUUCUUCGGCACCUGCUCUGUGGCACCUGCCUCAUCUUUCCUGCCUGUGUCUUCUGUUGUCCCCUAGAUCUGGACUGUUGACUUGUUCUUUCACCCCUUUGACUCCCAAUAUUGAGGUUCCAGUAUCGUCUCUGGAUAGCGCUAUCCUUCCCCUGAGGAAACAGGAUUUUGUUUCCGGUUUUCUCAGCAUUUUCUGAAACCUUGCUAUAAAUGAACAGAAAUUACAAUCAUCCCACGCAGCGGACUUUAAGUGCCACCUGUCAACUGGGCCCUGGCUACCUUCAUACACUAAUCACUCUGGAUGAUCGGGGGUUUUUUACUGUCAGAAAAUAGAGCUGAACACAGUGGGCAUUUUGGGUUAUGCACAUCCAAUCAUGGCUCUUGCCUUCGGGGAGGGGGAAGCUGUAGGUUUGAAUCUGAUCUCUGAAGUUCUCCGCCCCAUCCACCUCAGUGUCUGCUGAAACCCCAGCACAGUUUGUCCUGAAAUCUAGUAAGGUCAGGCAGAGGAAGGUCAGGAUUCCUCAGGAUCAGUGGAAGGUCAUUAACAUUCAGCAUCCUGUAAUUGUCACCCUCUUUCUGGAUGAUUUUGUUACUGUGGAAUUCUGAGAAGGUACAAACCAUGCAAGAAUUCCCUUUCCUGGACUCCGCCCAGCUAAUUAGACCUACUUUUAAUCUAGUAUUAGCGCAGAAGACAGUGCUGCACUGGGCCAUGGCAAGGCAGACAUAUCCGGGCAGAAGGGUAUGGCAAUGGAAAUCUGCUCAUCUCAUGGAAGGUAAAAGUGCUUCACUGGAGGAGCCUAUAGGAUUAUGAUCCUUAUUCCAGGUAGCUGGAAUCUGUACUCUCAGCUCUUGAACUGAUAUUGGUACAUUGGCCUCUCAAAGUUAAAUACUCCAAAACCCAUGCUUCUAAUAUAUCCUGUUAUUUCAAAGUUGUAGAACUAUUGGGGUCAUAGGGCAAACACAAAUUUCCUUAUACAAUAGCACCUUUUUUGCAGAAACAAAGGAAGAUAGUUCUGUAUAGACUCCAAAUGAUUCUUUCAAUCUCCAAGUGAUUAUUGCAGCUGGCCAUAGAUGAUAAAAUAUCUCAUUUUUAUUAGACAAGAGCAAAUAUAUAAGGAAAGCAGAGUAAAUACAAAGAGGGUGACAUUUCAGUUUCAGUAAAUUCAGCCCAAUUGCCCAGAGUUGUCUGCAGCCCUAUGAACUUGAACUCCAUCAAAUAACUCCAGUAAAAAAGGUUGACUGCAACACCAUUCUUCUCACAUUCCAGAGAAAGUUUUCACUCAAUUGUCUUUUCUACCAAAAUGUAUAAAUCAUAUCCCCCUAAGAUGAAAUGAGAUAACCUAUGUAUGAGCUUAUCAAAGUGACUGAUAAACGAGUAAGUGCUCAGUAAAUAUUAGCUUUAAGUUAGUUACAAUUCUAGCUGGAUUUGGAAAUGUGCCAUGGGGAUGCCUCCAAUUCUACAUUUUUCCUUUGAUUCCUGUUUCUCAUACUGUACAUUUAAAAGUAUAUAUUUAGAAAUGCUCUAAUACCGUGCCUUCUGAACUCACGGCAUCUCAUGCCAAGAAACACACGGGCUCUGUCCAAGGUCCUAAACUCCAGGUUUCAGAAAUAUCAAUACUUCCCAUACCAACCGCCUUGGAUUUCUUGAAAGCCAAAUUUCCCCAUCACGUAUUUCACCUUACACUAUUUCCUCCUUUAGCUUCUCAAUAUCUUGGGCUUUGGGCAGU